rnacentral:lncRNA from 1 species
GGUGGGGGCAGCGGGAGGGGGCGCUGUUUGUGGGGUCCGCGGGGGUGCUGCUGGAUCUCGGGUUUUUACCUCCCCUUUUACCUCCCCUUCCGUUUUGUCCCCACCGGGGGGAUACUCACACGCCGGAGGGGUGGUGUAGGGAUGAGCUGGGCUGUGCUGCUUUUCCAAACGCUGCUGCUGCUGCUGCGUCGUGCAGCGCCUAAAAUGGCCGCCCGGGGAGCGGGGUGAGAAACCCGGCGUGUGUCCCCUCACCGUGUGCGGGGUGAGGCUGCCGACAGCUAGACCAGCUGCCUGAGAAGCAUGUCAGAUGUUUACAGAAGGGACCUGUGCUGGAUUCACACCUCUCAACUUGAGACACGUUUCUUGCAAUGUCAACAUUUGAAGCUAACUGCCCGGGUUCAGAGAAGAGGCAUAGUUCUUCUAGGGAACAAGCAGUCCCGUCUGUUUUAGUUGAUGAAAAUUGUAUGUCUCUCCACUGACUUGAAAAGGAGCAUUAUGGCCACUCCCUUGGGAGCUGCCAGAAUGCUGGGGACUGUUUUUAGCAGGAGGAGUCUUGUAUCGUUCAUACACACAAUACUAAUGUCUCUGUGGCCAUAUGCACCUAGUCAGGAC